AACGAACGCUGGCGGCAUGCCUAACACAUGCCAGUCGAACGAUUGCCUUCGGGUGAUAGUGGCGCACGGGUGCGUAACGCGUGGGAAUCUGCCCUUAGGUUCGGAAUAACAGCUGGAAACGGCUGCUAAUACCGGAUGAUAUCGCGAGAUCAAAGAUUUAUCGCCUGAGGAUGAGCCCGCGUUGGAUUAGGUAGUUGGUGGGGUAAAGGCCUACCAAGCCGACAAUCCAUAGCUGGUCUGAGAGGAUGAUCAGCCACACUGGGACUGAGACACGGCCCAGACUCCUACGGGAGGCAGCAGUGGGGAAUAUUGGACAAUGGGCGCAAGCCUGAUCCAGCAAUGCCGCGUGAGUGAUGAAGGCCCUAGGGUUGUAAAGCUCUUUUACCCGGGAAGAUAAUGACUGUACCGGGAGAAUAAGCCCCGGCUAACUCCGUG
rnacentral:rRNA from 1 species